CCUACGGGUGGCUACAGUGGGGAAUAUUGGACAAUGGGGGCAACCCUGAUCCAGCCAUGCCGCGUGUGUGAAGAAGGCCCUCGGGUUGUAAAGCACUUUCAGUGAGGAAGAACGCCUGGUGGUUAAUACCCAUCAGGAAAGACAUCACUCACAGAAGAAGCACCGGCUAACUCCGUGCCAGCAGCCGCGGUAAUACGGAGGGUGCGAGCGUUAAUCGGAAUUACUGGGCGUAAAGCGCGCGUAGGUGGCUUGAUAAGCCGGUUGUGAAAGCCCCGGGCUCAACCUGGGAACGGCAUCCGGAACUGUCAAGCUAGAGUGCAGGAGAGGAAGGUAGAAUUCCCGGUGUAGCGGUGAAAUGCGUAGAGAUCGGGAGGAAUACCAGUGGCGAAGGCGGCCUUCUGGACUGACACUGACACUGAGGUGCGAAAGCGUGGGUAGCAAACAGGAUUAGAUACCCCGGUAGUC
rnacentral:rRNA from 1 species